UACGUAGGGUGCGAGCGUUGUCCGGAAUUACUGGGCGUAAAGAGCUCGUAGGUGGUUUGUCGCGUUGUUCGUGAAAACUCACAGCUUAACUGUGGGCGUGCGGGCGAUACGGGCAGACUGGAGUACUGCAGGGGAGACUGGAAUUCCUGGUGUAGCGGUGAAAUGCGCAGAUAUCAGGAGGAACACCGGUGGCGAAGGCGGGUCUCUGGGCCGUAACUGACGCUGAGGCGCGAAAAGCGUGGGGGAGCAAACAGG
rnacentral:rRNA from 1 species